GAUCCUGGCUCAGGAUGAACGCUAGCUACAGGCUUAACACAUGCAAGUCGAGGGGAAACGACAUCGAAAGCUUGCUUUUGAUGGGCGUCGACCGGCGCACGGGUGAGUAACGCGUAUCCAACCUGCCCACCACUUGGGGAUAACCUUGCGAAAGUAAGACUAAUACCCAAUGAUAUCUCUAGAAGACAUCUGAAAGAGAUUAAAGAUUUAUCGGUGAUGGAUGGGGAUGCGUCUGAUUAGCUUGUUGGCGGGGUAACGGCCCACCAAGGCAACGAUCAGUAGGGGUUCUGAGAGGAAGGUCCCCCACAUUGGAACUGAGACACGGUCCAAACUCCUACGGGAGGCAGCAGUGAGGAAUAUUGGUCAAUGGGCGAGAGCCUGAACCAGCCAAGUAGCGUGCAGGAUGACGGCCCUAUGGGUUGUAAACUGCUUUUAUAAGGGAAUAAAGUUAGUCUCGUGAGACUUUUUGCAUGUACCUUAUGAAUAAGGACCGGCUAAUUCCGUG
rnacentral:rRNA from 1 species